rfam:Acetobacteraceae bacterium SCN 69-10 ABS99_C0014, whole genome shotgun sequence.
GCGCCUGUAGCUCAGUUGGUCAGAGCGGGCCGCUCAUAACGGCUUGGUCGCAGGUUCGAGCCCUGCCAGGCGCA